rnacentral:rRNA from 1 species
GACGAACGCUGGCGGCGUGCUUAACACAUGCAAGUCGAACGGAAAGGCCCUGCUUUUGUGGGGUGCUCGAGUGGCGAACGGGUGAGUAACACGUGAGUAACCUGCCCUUGACUUUGGGAUAACUUCAGGAAACUGGGGCUAAUACCGGAUAGGAGCUCCUGCUGCAUGGUGGGGGUUGGAAAGUUUCGGCGGUUGGGGAUGGACUCGCGGCUUAUCAGCUUGUUGGUGGGGUAGUGGCUUACCAAGGCUUUGACGGGUAGCCGGCCUGAGAGGGUGACCGGCCACCUUGGGACUGAGAUACGGCCCAGACUCCUACGGGAGGCGGCAGUGGGGAAUAUUGCACAAUGGGCGGAAGCCUGAUGCAGCAACGCCGCGUGCGGGAUGACGGCCUUCGGGUUGUAAACCGCUUUCGCCUGUGACGAGGCGUGAGUGACGGUAAUGGGUAAAGAAGCACCGGCUAACUACGUG